rnacentral:lncRNA from 1 species
GAUCAGUUCACAAUUGUAUAUCAUUUUGUACCCUUCUAGCUUAUGAUUUGGUUAUGUUAUUGAGUCAAACGUGUGCUUUUAAUCCCUUUUCUGUUUAUCAUUCAGUUCAUUGGGCCUUAGGUAGCAAUGGUGUCUUUGGAUAAGAAAAGAUGCAAAAUGGUGCAAAAACGAGCAGACUGGGUUAGCAACUCAUUUCGGCCUUAACAUCUUUCUCCGAACUUGGAUUGGCCCAAAUAAUAUGUAGUUGGAAAGAUGAGAGUCUGAACUUCAAGAUGGACUACUCAAAUGCAUCAGAUUAUGAAGUUGAGCCCAAUUCGUGAGCCCAUAUACACACCAGGUUCAGGAUUGCAGUUUCCAGUUGUUGAGCCUUGGAUACUUUCUUUGAGCCAUGUGACUCACCACAGCUUUCCUUGACUUUAGACCAGACAUGUUGAGCAAUUUAGGGAGCAAUUAAGGGAGGUGUGUCAGCUACUCAAGUGCAGAGGAAUCACUCCAUUCACCAAUAAUUCACUCCAGCCAUCCUAUAUCACUUCAUUCAGCCCAAAAUCACGAAGGAACAACUCCAACAAGCCUUCCUUCCAUUUCCUACGAAUUUGUUCUUUCUCUGCCAUCACCAACCACCCAAACUCAUCCCAAAUCACCUCUUUAGUUGCCAUACUCUAGACAUGAGAAAGUUCUUGGAGUAGCAUUAGAUGUGGAGAAGCACCUGGAGAAGCCUUGGAAACCACAAGCAACUUCAGAAUUGGGUUUCUCUACUCUUAUUGCAUUCAAUAUGUUUUCUCAUUUUUGCUUAAGUUCCAUUUCCAUUAUGAGUAGCUAAAUUCAUAACUAGGGCUAUGAUGUAACCUAACAUGAAUAUUCUGGGUUUAUAAGUUGAAGUUUUGAGUUUCAAGUUUGAUUCAUGAUUCAUAUUCCUAUUCUUUAUGCUUAUCAGUUAAUAUGCUUGUUUGGAUGAUUGAUCACCAUUAGAACUUGUAUAUUAGCUACCUUGGUUUGAAUCAAGAGUAGACACCAUGCUUUGAUUUGAAUUGAACUAUGAAUAAGAAAAGUAUGUAUGGACAUUCGACAACAGGGAUUAGAUACAUGCUUGGUUGUUUAAAUUGUUCUUCUAUGCUUAAUGGGUUCCUAAUGCUUAAUUUAGAUUAGACAACAAAUGAUCAAGUUAGGGAAUUAGGAGCACAAGGUUAGGACCAGACACCAUGGCCUAAUCAUACUUUAGCUAGAAUCAAUCUUUGAAUCCGAAUGAGACUUGUCACUUGACUCCUUAUAACCCAGAAUUGAAUUGUUAUGGUGAAUCGAAUGCCCUAGUCUCCCAAUCUGUUUUCCAGCCUACAAAAGUACUCUUUGUUACAUUUGUUCACUUUGCUUUUGUUUGAAAUUUCGUUUUGCCUCAUUUGUUCAACAAUUACAAUCACUCUUGCUUUAAAUUCUAUUUUAGACUUAACCUCCUACUUUCUUGAAUUUGGUAAUCUAAGUACAUAACUAAUUUUAACUUCUCAGUCCUCGUGGGUACGACCUCGUACUUGUCUUGCCAUACUACUAAUUGGCCCGUACAAUUGCGAGUUAACAUUUUAACAAACACUCCCACCUUUCCUUUUGGAAUAUAACCAAGUGAAAGAGUUGAAUUGUCACCAAGUGAAGUCUUCUUCAAAAGAAAUCUAAAAGAAAAGGUGGUGUGUCAACGUAAAAGAGUUGAAUUGUCACUUUGUCCGAUAAUCAGCUUGUGGCUUACAAUCAAUCAUUCCACUUGUUUCACAAGAAGCAUCCAUUAACUAUUUGAUGAAUACGACAUCUUUCAGGGAAUCUAGGAUGUCCCACAAGUUUACCUUUCAAACUAUAAAGUCCUAAACUUUAUAACAAUUUCAAUCUCAUUACCAUUCAAUUGGACUUAUCAAAUAUUUUGUUAUGCUUGGGGUUACAGCGUAAG